rnacentral:antisense_RNA from 1 species
AUUGGCCAUUGUCUCCUAGGUUUCUUAUAGUCUAGAAUAAAUCAUUUUUCAUUACAUUGACUUUUGACAGGCUGGACCAGAUGUCCUACCCUUUUGGAAUUGUCUAGUUAUUUAUUUGUAGUAUGACAUUUCUUUAUUCCUGUAUGUACAUCAAACUUGAAGUUAGAUCUAAAGUGUCAGUCAAUUUAAGUGAAACAUUUUAUAUCUUAGGUAAUGUAUACUUCAUGUUGCAUCUUAUUAGAUGUUUUUAAAGCUUUAUAUAUAUAUAAGUUGAAUCUUGUUGACUUUCUCAAAAUCCUGAGGAAUCUGCAGUGCAUCAACAUCUCCACAGUAGGUACCAUAAAUGGUUAACAGUUUCUGUAAGGCAACUUUGCACUAGCCUAUUUUGAGCAUAGAACACAACUUUGAAGAUUAAAUCCCAUCCAGGGACUGAUUGGUAGAAGACAACUAGUCAGGGAACAUAGGAGGGAAAUACUUAAUUGCCAUAAAGUGGGUAGAUACCAGUCCACAAAUAAUUCUGAAUUAACUACGAAUAUGCUGUUUCAUGUUUGUAGACUCAUAGAUGUUUUGUGUUAUUAGUGGCUGUUCUGGAUUAUAAACUCCCAUGAGAGGUUAUUUUAAAAUCAGAAUUUUUCAUUUUUAAUAUUUAUCACUACUGCUUAUAUCCUCACUUUAACCUACCUAAUGCUGUUUCACUCAAAUGUCUUUUCUUUCUUCCCUGUAACAGUUGUGCAGAAGAUUCUGACCUUAUUUGAGGCUUACAUAUAGGUUUGGAGAUGUGGAAAGGAGUGGAAAAAGAAAUAUGUAAGCUGAAGUGCCAAACUCACACUGAAAUAAAGGGCAUGGCCCACCAGCUGACAAGGAGUGUCUGGUUUCAAGAUGGCAAAUGACCCUAAACAUGAUAGACAAAUAUGUUUUACAUAGGUACAUGCACAGAUAGGCACAUAUAAAUCCACAUUUGCAAGCAAAAAGUGGAACCUGUAAAGCAGAAUUUCUGAGGAAUCUCUAAAAGACUAAUACUGUAUGGAAUUUGAAGAGGAAACCCAGAGCAGAAGCACAUAGUGAAGUACUGCCACAAAGAUGUGUGACGCCACUAAAGGUGCUGUAGACCCACAAGAAAGGAAAACUGGGAGCAGGACAACUAUCUGGAUAUUGACUGCACAUGCCAAUAUCUCAGUCAGACUAACAGAAUCAGAGCUUUAGGCAGAGAAAUGAAUGGUUGGAGAGAGAAGGCAAUGCCCAGGUGCCCUGCUUUGAAAUGUCCCGCCCAUCCCCAAAUUAGUCUGAAAAUUUCAAAUGUAGUAUAAAUUCCCUUCCCAUCAAAAGUGUCCCAUAAACAGCAGUGGUAGAAGAGUUUUAACUGAGUAUCACAGCUUCAAUGAUGAGUAUAGAAAACUCCAAAAAUCUGAAUACCAACACAAUCAAAAAAGAGGUACAAACCACAAGUGGAAGAACCAUCUCAAGAAAUAAUGAAGCAUUCAUGGAAUACAGAUUAGCAACUCUUUAAAACAGUAUUGCCAAGAGAAACAGAUAGCAUUGCAGUUGUCAGAUCUCAUUAAGGUCUUAUAUCUGAAACAGUUCCACUGUCUUCCAUAACUUUCAUAACUUUGAAUAUUUUGGCUCAUAGGCGAAAGGGAAUUGCCUUAUUUCGAAUGAGACUUUGGACUGUGGACUUCUGAGUUGAUGCUGAAAUGAGUUAAGACUUUGGGGGACUGCUGGGAAGGCAUGAUUGGUUUUGAAAUGUGAGGACAUGAGAUUUGGGAGGGGUUGGGGUGGAAUGAUAUGGUUUGGCUGUGUCCUCACUCAAAUCUCAUCUUGAAUUCCCACAUGUUGUGGGAGGGAUCGGUGGGAGGUAAUUGAAUCACGGGGCCAAGUCUUGCUGUUCUUGUGAUAGUGAAUAAGUCUCACAAGAUCUGAUGGUUUUAAAAAGAGGAGUUCCCCUGCACAAGUUCUCUCUCUUUGCCUACUGCCGUCUACGUUAAGACAUGACUUGCUCCUCCUUGCCUUCCACCAUGAUUGCAAGGUAUCCCCAGCCAGGUAGAACUGUAAGUCCAUUCAAUCCUUUUUCCUGUAUAAAUUACCCAGUUGCAGGUAUGUCUUUAUCAGCAGCAUGAAUAUGGACUAAUACAGAAAUUAAAAUGAUGCCUGACACAUAAUUGCUUAAUAAAUAUUAGCUAUUAUUAUUUGACAUU